rnacentral:rRNA from 1 species
UACCUGGUUGAUUCUGCCAGUAGUCAUAUGCUUGUCUCAAAGAUUAAGCCAUGCAUGUCUAAGUAUAAGCAAUUAUACCGCGAAACUGCGAAUGGCUCAUUAUAUAAGUUAUCGUUUAUUUGAUAGCACAUUACUACAUGGACCUGUGAGUAAUUUAGAGCUAAUACAUGCUAAAAAUCCCGACUUCGGAAGGGAUGUAUUUAUUAGCUUCACAGCCCACGCCCUUCGGUGCUUCCUGCUGUUUCAUAAUAACUUUUCGCAUCUCAUGUCCUUGCGCCGGC